rnacentral:rRNA from 1 species
GACGAACGCUGGCGGCGUGCUUAACACAUGCAAGUCGAACGAUGAGGCCGGAGCUUGCUCUGGUGGAUUAGUGGCGAACGGGUGAGUAACACGUGAGUAACCUGCCCUUGACUCUGGGAUAAGCGUUGGAAACGACGUCUAAUACCGGAUACGAGCUGGGACCGCAUGGUCACCAGCUGGAAAGAACUUCGGUCAAGGAUGGACUCGCGGCCUAUCAGCUAGUUGGUGAGGUAACGGCUCACCAAGGCGGCGACGGGUAGCCGGCCUGAGAGGGUGACCGGCCACACUGGGACUGAGACACGGCCCAGACUCCUACGGGAGGCAGCAGUGGGGAAUAUUGCACAAUGGGCGCAAGCCUGAUGCAGCAACGCCGCGUGAGGGACGACGGCCUUCGGGUUGUAAACCUCUUUUAGCAGGGAAGAAGCGAAAGUGACGGUACCUGCAGAAAAAGCACCGGCUAACUACGUGCCAGCCGCCGCGGUAACAC